GGCAGUGGUGGCUCAUUGGUUAAGGUGCUGGGUUACUAAUCAGAAGGUCAUGGGUUCAAGCUCCAGCACUGCCA